AACGAACGCUGGCGGCAGGCUUAACACAUGCAAGUCGAGCGCCCCGCAAGGGGAGCGGCAGACGGGUGAGUAACGCGUGGGAACGUACCUUUUGGUUCGGAACAACUCCGGGAAACUGGAGCUAAUACCGGAUAAGCCCUAACGGGGAAAGAUUUAUCGCCGAAAGAUCGGCCCGCGUCUGAUUAGCUAGUUGGUGAGGUAACGGCUCACCAAGGCGACGAUCAGUAGCUGGUCUGAGAGGAUGAUCAGCCAUACUGGGACUGAGACACGGCCCAGACUCCUACGGGAGGCAGCAGUGGGGAAUAUUGGACAAUGGGCGCAAGCCUGAUCCAGCCAUGCCGCGUGAGUGAUGAAGGCCUUAGGGUUGUAAAGCUCUUUUGUCCGGGAAGAUAAUGACUGUACCGGAAGAAUAAGCCCCGGCUAACUUCGUG
rnacentral:rRNA from 1 species